rnacentral:lncRNA from 1 species
AUGAACUAAAAUGUUGCACACUCAAUCUUUGGAAGAUAUAUUUUAUAAAAAAACAACAUAAAUAUAGAUAGAUUAUCUUUCCAUUAGGUUGAGCGAUUUGAUCUGACAAAUGUUUUAAAUGUUAUACUCAUGAUCUUAUUAUCCAUCAACUUUGUCUUGCUCACUAUGCUUAAGGUUAGAGAAGAACAAAUACACUUUUGGUUCUGUUGGUGUUUUCCACCAACAGGGCCCAUGCACUUGAUCUCUGCCUUGUCUCUAUGAGUAGGUACACUUUGAGCAAAAUAUGAAGGAGUUUUACAACUCCCAGACUCCACC